CACAGCUAGAGUUUCUAGCUGAGUUUAGGGCCCUGUGGCGCCAGGCGCUGUACGGACACAGAGCGAGAGCCAGGUGCUCAUGAUCUAAAUAGAUAAGACAGGUGGGAGGAACAGAGAUGGGAAGGAACUUGGCCAAGGUCCCACAGCAGGUCACUGGGGUGGCCCCAGAGCAGGGCCUGGCCCCAUGCUGCCCCCAGCCGCCCUGUCACUUCCCUUUCUUGCUCCCUCUGUUCCCAACCUCCCCACUGUCAUGUGCAUUUCCUUCCGUAAUUUUGCAGCCGCUCUGAGCACAGCUCUUUAUUUGGACUAGCCACCCCUGAGGGGACACAAACUUCAAGCACCAAAGGAUUGUGGGUAUGUGCUUUCCUGCCCACCCCUGCGGCGAUGUCUCUAAAGCUCUUUUGCUGCAUUCCCCCCGUUUGCAUUCACCACCCCCGCCACCCAGCUAGGUUUAUUUCAAAUGUUUUCACUUCCCCUCUUUUUUGGCGGUGAAACUGCGGCUCCACCACAGCUCUCUGCCAGCUCCUGGCUCUUCAGCUCCCAAGCGUGUGCUGUAAAGUACGUUCUGUCCCUGUCUGACCUCUCCUCCUUCUGCACCGCCUGCGUGCCAGCCAGAGCCAGCCAGCUGCAAAGUGUGUGUAAACGGAACCCGCUUGGAAAAUAAUCUACCUGGUGAUCCCUGUCGUGCUUUGGAAUCCUUCCAUCGGAAAGAAGCCAUGGCAGGGUUGUGGAGAAAGGCUCGAGACACAGAAUCUACAAAUUGUGAUGGUGUGCAAAUGGAACACGCUGGGAAAGUCCGUGUCGAGCCCUCCAGUGACCUGGUCCACGUAAGAGGAUAACAGCCUACCACUGCUGCCAGUAAACGGAGUUCAGCAAAUGGGCUCAGAACACCCCCGAGUACUGCACUGUUUAAAUCUGAGGGUUAGUUUGGGCCCUUUGUAAAAAGAGUACCCAUGCACAGCUCAGAAUGGUUAUUAGUAUUUAUUGUCUGUAUUCCAACACUGCCUGCAGGCCCCAGGCAGGAUCAGGGCGCCAUGGCACCAGAUGCUGUAUGCGUACAUGCCAGAAAGACAGCCUCUGCCUCCAGGAGCUCACAGGUUAAGGCCGGAGGACCUAUAACUGUACACUGUACCCACAAAGUGCUCACAGCUUCCCCUGCCUGUGACAGACUGACAACUUCCUGCAACCUCCUGAACGAACAUAAGUUCAAUCUUAUUGAAUUCGGUUAGUAUCUUUGGGAUCCACUGUAUUAAAAAUGCAAUUGUCUCUG